GUUGGUGUAGCUCAGUGGUAGAGUGCGAUGUAUGUAUGAUGUCCAGGGUUCAAUCCCCAGCUCCUCCC